AAGCUCCCAUAGCAACCAGGAAAAAUCCUUCUACGCAUGCGUCCUCGUAGAGCCGCCUCCUUCCCCUGCCGCUUAGCAUGGUGGUCAUUGUAGUUCUGAUUCGACUUCCUUCCGGCUUCCAAUCUUCCUGUCGGAGAGAAUUUUGUUCUCCGUGUAUUACUAGGCGUGAGAUAGCGGCGACUCUCUGAAGAGGAAGAAGAGAAUGGGACCACAGAUCCCAAGGUGCGUCGCUGCAAGACGGCCACAAGCCUGAGCGUGCCCGAAGGGAUGCUGGUUAGCUAGGGAAGAGGCACCCUUGAAUGUGUGCAGAAUGCCCAGUCUGGACUGCACCAAUGAGUCAUCAAAGCCUACACCUCCCCCCCCCCGCCCCCCAGCAUCAGGAGUUAACAACAGACCAGAGGCAUCAUGGUUUCCUGGGAGGCUUGUGUCUGUCUCACUAUCCCUCUUCUAAAUGAACCUAGCAAACAUCAGAUUCUUUGCUGCAAGAGCGGAUGAGGUGAAGCUGUUUCCACUGCACAGAAGCUCUGACACAUAUCAAAGAGGCCCAAUUCCUUUCCCUUGAUGCUAUUAAAGCCCACUCAUCAUCCCCUUUUGACCUAUUGUAGUACACAGCUUCACAAAGACUUCUAAGUAGCUACUCAUCUAAUUGCCUUUGCAAUAGAAGUGUGAUACCUCCCUUGCAGAUAUGCCCUGCUCUGGCACCAGUUUCCUCGCCCAAUUCUCUAUAGCCCAUUUGUCCAAUGAACAGUUUCCUGUAACAGCUUCCUCUCUCAAAAGUAUAAACAGAGGAAACGAAGCAUGUGGCUAAAUGACUCUGUUAUUUUCAACUUCACAGAGAGGAAUAUCAGCAUACUAUACCACUCUUUAUCUCAAAAAGACCUACAGAGGGUAUAGAGGAAAGAGAAUGGAAGCGAUACAGGAGGAAACAAAGUACGCUAUGAUGGAAGAGAGGCAAGGCCUAGAGGCUUCUAAACAGCACCAAGACCUCCAUCUUACUGCCUUCAAGGGGGGCUCUGAGGCCUGCAACAAAUUGAGAUGAACAGUUUUUCAUCUUUGUACUUGAACACAAGGCUGCUAAUGUCAGGGAUCUCCACUUGUACUUUCUCACCAAGUAGAGGUAAUCAAAGAUCUUGGAGGGCCGGUCCAUCUGAGCCAUGAUGAGAAGCAUCUCAUUAUCAAUAAACUCCUUGUAGUCCUCGAGGCUGCAACCAGCUCGGCGCUCCAAUUCUGUGCGGAUCUGUGGGAGGAGAGCUUAUGAGACUGUCAUGCUCCAGCCUGGAUGCUCUCCCAGUGACAGCUUUAUCCUUACCCAUUGCCACACAUAUCCCUGCUACCCCAGUUCCCGAAGUCUCUUUCUUUCCCUGUCCCUUAUAGCACUUUCCACACGACCAGUUCCCAUACCCCAUCACACACACACAGGGCCGGAUUAAGCUAGUGUGGGGCCUGUAGCAUAUGUUAUGAAGGGGCCCCAAAUUUAAAAAAUGCACAUAAAUAUUGAAACAUAAAUUAUUUACUUGCGUAGUAAAGUAAUUCAAUUAUUUCAUUUGCCUAGUGCGCCCCCACCAACCGCCCCAUGCCUCCACUCAGCAGAGCCAGCCAGUCAACAAACUUUGCAACACAACACCCCCCCCCGCACACACACACUUUUGUGACUCCUGACCGUGGGUUCUCCUUUGGAGUUAUUUUCACAAAGAUAAAGGGGAUGGGGAACAAAACUCUGAAUGUUUAAAUUAAAAGGUUCUCAGGAAUUCUGUACUUUGAGAAAUCUGAACCUAUUAGUAAUUUUGGCACACAACAGUGGAUGUUUGAUUCCAAUGUGUGCAGAACAUAUUGGAUCCCAGCAGCCAUCACAUUAAAAGGGCCAUUUGACAAUAUUAAGAAUAUAUGUUUAGCCUCUUGUGCAAGCCUGACAGGAGCUGGUCUUGUGGUAGCAAGCAUGACUUGUCCACAUAGCUAAGCAGGGUCUGCCCUGGUUGCAUCUGAAUGGGAGACUAGAAGUGUGAGCACUGCAAGAUAUUCCCCUCAGGGGAUGAAGCCACUCUGGGAAGAGCAGAAGAUUUCAAGUUCCCUCCUUGGCUUCUUCAAGAUAGGGCUGAGAGAGAUUCCUGCCUGCAACCUUGGAGAAGCCGCUGCCAGUCUGUGAAGACAAUACUGAGCUAGAUAGACCAAUGGUCUGACUCAGUAUAUGGCAGUUUCCUAUGUUCCUAUGAAAGCAGAUGUAUAUUUAAAAUAGUUGAUGCAUUGCAAAUGAAUGUGAUUAUGAUGAGGUGCACUAGCAACUUCCAUGAAAACAGAAGUAUCCAAAAGACAAUCUUUUGGCAGGAGGCACAGCCUCUUUCAAUCUAAAUUACACUAACAUGCUUAAUAUUAAAAGGAGGAAAUGCACAAAUCAUUCAGUGCAACCCUAAGCAUGUUUACUCAGAAGUAAGUCCCACUGAACUCAAUGAGCCUUACUCUCUAGUAAGUGUGUUUAGGUUUGCUGCCUCCGUUUAUCUUUGGACAAUUUCAACGGGCAUCCCAAUGUAAAGCUAAUGAAGUUGGCAACGCAGCAGUAGUUAUUUCAGUUCUAGAGGAGAGGAAAGGAGCUCACCUUAAAUUUGGCAGUUCCUUGAAAAGCAAUGAUCACAAAUUCCCUCCCAACAGCACUAGAUACUAAAGGAGGAUAUAAGUGACCUUACCCAACAAGACCAUAAUAUAAUCUCCCCUCAACUGAUCCACUAAACUUUGAGACCAGCUUUCUUUUUCCUCUUAAAGGUACACAUUCUCAUUGUUUAUCUUUACCCUCUCCCAGUCAGUCGGAAAAUGCUGGCAACAUUCAACUAGCAUCUUCUUUAGCUUCCUUUCUUCCGCCCCGGCAUUAAUAGUUAGUUGUUUUUUAAUCUAAACUACUUUUAUUUCUUUUACUCUCUGUGUGUAUGUUUUUAAAAACUUUUACAGUUUAAACAAAUAAGGACCAACUCCGAUUAAGUUAUCUUUGAGACCGCUUUGCAAGCUAUCUAUUCCUAUUGUUGUUCUUACUACUCCCCUCCCGUGCUACUUAACAUAAUAGAUAACCCAAUCAACACCAUGGUGCCAGGAAGACCUUGCUUAAAUGCCCUCGAGUGCGAGAGAAUGGGCAGCAGCAAGCAAUGAGGAGAGUCAGCAGAGAGCACCAAACAGAGAGCAAAAGAAGGGGCAGACGUUCAAGCCAGGUGUGCGGGGCCCUAGAAAACGCGGGGCCUGUAGCAAAUGCUACAUUUGCUACUAUGUUAAUCCGGCCCUGCACACACACACACACACACACACACACACACACACACACACACACACUCAACUCCUCUUUUCCCCCACACCCCCAGCACCACACCUCCUCUUCCAGAACCCCUUUGCCCUAACAUCCCACCUCCUUGGAGGUGAUGCUCUCCAGGUCAGUGGUGGCCAUCACCUCACGCAGCUUGGCCCGGAUCAUCCGCUUUGUCAUCUCCUGUGCUGUCAGCCUGAGGCACAGAGACGGGAGGGUCGGCAAAGCUCUCGGCCCACCAGACUCUGCCCCAGACACCAAGGUGUCCCAUAUAGGCCCACCUCCCUUGCCAUUCCCCACCCCCGCCCAGCAAGCUUAUAGAACUGAUAUGAAGCUCUGCCUUUUCUGGAUUAAUUCAGGACUGAAAACUGAUGCUGUGGAAGCGUUUUGCUGUGAUCGGCAGCAUAGGAACAUAGGAAGCUGCCAUAUACUGAGUCAGACCAUAGGUCCAUCAAGCUUAGUAUUGUUUACACAGACUGGCAGUGGCUUCUCCAUGGUUACAGGCAGGGAUCUCCCUCAGCCCUACCUUGGAGAUGCCAGGGAGGGAACUUGGAACCUAGAUGCUCUUCCCAGAGCGGCUCCAUCCCCUAAGGGGAAUAUCUUACAGUGUUCACACAUCUAGUCUCCCAUUCCUAUGCAACCAGGGUGGACCCUGCUUAGCUUAGGGGACAAGUCAUGCUUGCUAUCACAAGACCAGCUCUCCUCCAGCAUCUUCCCCAAUUAUCAUUAAAAAAUUCCCUCUCUGUUGGCUGUAAGCUAUGCUGCAGGAGAUGAACUCAGGGGGCAUGGAAGACUCUAAACUGACUAGCAAGACGACCUCAAAUGAAGAUGAACUUAGGGGGCACAGAAGACCUAAGCUGACUAGCAAGACCAUCACAAAUGGCCGUGCUUUGGACUACUGCAUGGUGUUCCAUCAUUGCUCCACAGACGAUGCCAAGCACAGCCCAUGACCUGCCCUAGCAGGGGAAAAGGGUAUCACUGACUGGUCAGAGAAAUCUGCAGGAGAACUGGACCGCACAGACUCCAGGUCGGACAUGGCUAGCCACUCAUUAAUGCAGCUCUGCUCAGAGUUCACAGCCUUCUGGUACCACUCAGUCCAGCCCAACACACUGCCUCCUGGAAAACUGUUGCCACAGAUGGCUUCAUUGCACGCCUUGUGCAGUACUUGCAGCGCUGACCUGAGAGCCAAGAUGAUGGAGGAAGAAACACAGCCAGACAUCAGAAAUAUUAUUAAAGAAUUGAAAUGCCCAGGUAGAUGCACCCAUACCCCAGGGGUUUCUAUUUAACAUCAGCCCCAUUCACAUCUUCUUUCAGACAAAAUCAUAAUGACAAGAUGACAACUAGACAUCUUUGCAAUGCUUUAUCAGUGCCACAAAAGAGGCCUUGAUUUAGGAUCUGGAAGAUGGAGCUGUAUAGGGGAACAUAGAAAGAGGAAUCUGGCCCAUUCAGCUCCCUUCUCAACCUCCUGCCCCCCGCCACUAUAAAACCUUAUUCUUUGGCAGCUCUCACUGCCUUCAGAAAAAUUCAACAGUUCUUUCCCUCUACAACCUACAAUUCCACACCCCUCCAAAAGCAAUAAUGGCACCUAUAUACACUCCUCCUUCCUCAGACAUUAAUCCAUUCUCUCCCAUCCAUGUUCUUAACAUUUUUCAACCAACCCAACAGCCUUGCUUACCACAUGGUCUGGACAGAGAUGGGCUUGAAGAUACGCGUCUGCCCCCCAGAUGUUACACUGAAGCCCCUAGAGAAAGAAAAAGGGACAGUGAGUUUACCAUUAACUGGGGAGUUAGCUGAUAAGUGGAACACUCCAUCAGGGAUGUAGAUAUAUGGAAAGGGGCAAAUAAGAAUGUAAGAAGAAAAUGGAUUGAUGCAGGUAUUGCAAAACUGAUUUUGGAUAUUCCAUAAUUCCAGAUCCCAUUUGUAAGCAGAUACACACACACACACACACACACACUCCCUCCCCACCCACCACCCACCCACCCCGGCUGCCACCCCGCUACAGGGAUGUAAAAGCUCAGUUGGUAUGUGUCUGUUUUGAAUGACAGCAAUCGUAGCUUUAAUCUAAGAGUUCUAAAAAUGGAUUGUACAAGCUACAGUCAAUAUGCUAAACACACUCCCUCUACACUGCAGAAUUCUACUAUAGAGUCUUAGUUUUCAUACAGAAACUCGUCCAUUCUAGUCAUGGGGGUUUCUGCAGUAAGCAAGCACCAAACAAAAUAUGGAAAAUUAAUACAACUGUAAGGAGACAUAUAAAGAAGAGGCCAGAUGUCAGGAUCUUUGAACUGCCAUUGCUAAAGAAAUAAAAAUUAGUAAUGAGGUGAAUCAUAGCAUCUUGGAAAAGAAAAGUGGGAAGAGUGAGAAGUAAGGCCUAUUCAUAUUAAGCAGCAAGGCUCAUUCAUUAUAUUUCAUCAGGAGUGAAAUAUAAGAUGUUAUUUCAUUGUUUAGCAUGUCUGUGCAUAAUGUAUGUAAACCACCUGGAGAUAUCUAUAUCAGGCACAUUAUAAAUAUAAUGAAUGGAUGGAUGGGGAUGGGGACCUGAAGCUUAUCUUCAGGCACUUGGAACGCCACUUGGACAAACUACUAACCCUAACCCUACAAACUUCAGAGUUUCAGGAAGACUAUUUCUAGGUGGGCAAGGAAGCAUGAAAGUCUGAUUGCAUGUGGAAGCAUGAAAGUCUGAUUGCUUGUUUAAUGAGUAGCUUUUCUCCCACUUAAGAAGAGUAUGAUUUUAGAUAUGGUGAUCAUGUCCAACAGUUUGUGCAGGGUAACUGGAAUGACAUAAUUGAGAGCUGGAGACUGACUAUUCAGUGGGUUGCUUUGGGCAGCCAAUUUGGGGUGCCACUGAAGGACAGAAAAUCACCAGCUGGAUUAUUUAUAAUAAAAUAAAAAUAAUAAUAGAAUUUAUUAUUUUCUUUGAGUGGUUUUGCCUCAGGCACUAGAAUAUCUUGCAUGGACCCUGCUUCCUAAUUAUCCCUACAUAGCUUUGCCCCCUUACAGUAUCUCUUUCCUCUCACUUCCCAAUACAUUUCUGUAUGUGACCUUUGCUCAUUCAGCUACAUCAUCCUUAGCUGCCUGCAGGUCUCCUGCUCUCUCACGACUCCACACUUUCUCCCUUGUUCCCCUGGAACUGCAUCCCAGGAGAUUUCUAUGAUGUCACCUCUCACAUUCUUCAAAUCCCUCCUCAAAAUUCACCUUUUCUGUGAAACUUUUGGCACAACUCCUUAGUCAUUAUCUUCUAAUGAAACAACUUCUUAUUUUUCCUACCAAUGUUUUUGUUGAAUAGCAGUAUAUAAAUACUACUACUAAUAACAACAACAGGCCUAAGUAUGGGUGGCUAAAAUGAAUGUGUAUCCUUCCUUUGUUUACCCUUCCCUUGUGAAAAAUAUUCAGUUGUAAGCUCCUCAGGGCAAGGACCUGUCUUUUUGUACUUUGUAGGCAGCAUGUAUAUUGAUGAUGCAAUUAUAAUAAUAAAGAGAUGAAAUCUAGCCGGAGGUAGCAUGGGGCAGGCUCUUGAGAUAAAUGUAUGAAAAACAGGCCAUGUUGCAGGGGUGGGGAAUGCUGGUUUCCUUUAAUGCAAGAGAGAGAAGUGAUAUCUAUCCCUUUCUUAGCUAUUCAGCAUAAACUAAAUGCCACUUCUAGCUUUAGAAAUAAUUAUUAAGAGCAAGAAGAAGGAGGCAUCUCCUGUUUAUUCCACUUCUGCCUUGGAACAAACAUGUGGUGGGGUGGAGGUGGGGGACCCAGUACAUGCAAAAACUGACCUCUCAUUAUCCCAAGCUGUUUGUUUAGUUUCGAAACAAACUUAAAUUAGAGGCUUCUAGCUUACACAAGGAUUACUAUUACACAUGGAGUAAUGUGAAUGAGGGGUGUGUGUGUUUGUUUGUAAAUAGAGCUUCUUACCCAUCACCAUCAAGGAAGACUUGGGUGUCACUCCAGAGUGGAAGUACCAUCCCCAGGGUGCAGAUGGCCAUACUGGAGAAACACAGAGAAGAGGUCAGGCAACCCCUAAGGAGUUUAUAUUCAUUCAUUCAUUCAUUCAUUCAUUCAUUCAUUCGAUUUCUAUGCUGCCCUUCCAAAAAUGGCUCAGGACGGUUUACACAGAGAAAUAAUAAAUAAAUAAGCAAGAUGGAUCCCUGUCCCCAAAGGGCUCACAAUCUAAAAAGAAACGUAAGAUAAGACACCAUCAACAGUCACUGGAGGUACUGUGCUAGGGGUGGACAGGGCCAGUUACUCCACCCUGCUAAAUAAAAGAGAAUCAUCACAUUAAAAGGUGCCUCUUUGCCAAGUUAGCAGGGGUUAUAGUCUGUACUUCUCCUAAACAGCUGUCUCAUUUUUCCCUAUUUGUGCUUUUCUUUCAACCUGCUUUUACAAAAGCUUGACAAAUGUAGAAAUAUUUGCUGGUCACAAAUGCAAAAGUUAAAUGGUCCAGUAAUACUCCAUAUGAUCUAAAGGAAGAAAAACAAAUAUUAGACAGUACUAAUAGCUACAGCCGUGACAGGGGGCUUGUCUGGAUUGCAUUUUAUUGCACAGACAGGGGCUCAGAGUGGUUAAGGAAAUGGAAUAUACUUAUCUUUAUUUCAGCCCAUUGAUUUGACUGAGUACAUAAACAAAAGAUUUCUGAAGUGCAUAUAUAUCCAGAACAAGGGCGGGGGUGGGGGGAGUCAGUGAAGGGUUGUCAAACUUGUUUGACCAGUGAGUAGUAAAACACAUUAAGGAAGUUAGAUUUGCAUGAAGACAGGAAGAGACAUCUAGGAAGGAAAGAUACUUUUCAUAAGGAAUCUUUUAAAAACUGAAUUACUUCAUGGAGCUAGCAAAGGAGUUUUGUACCUGGAUCUUAAAUGCAUUUGCUUUAUUUCAGUGGCACUUGUAUCCAGAAAGUUAUGGUAAGGAUCACAGCCUUAGUUUAUAAAAGUCAAGCUUGCAUCCUGAUCUUUUCCAUAUUUGUUCAGAGCCAAGGUCCACUGAGUUCAGCAGGACUUACUUCCAAGUAUGUGUGUAUCAGACCGUAACCCAAGAGACUGAUAUUGCAUCCAUAUUGUUCCAAGCCUUGCUGAAAGUUGCAGCAAGGUUUGGCUUUCUCCCAGUUGCAGGGGAGUAAGAGCAGGAGAGAGGGCAUGCCCUCAGCUGUUGCCUGUGGGAUUCCCAGAGGCAUCUGGAGGGCCACUGUGUGAAACAGGAUGCUCAGCUAGAUAGGCCUUGGGCCUGAUCCAGCAGGGCUGUUCUUAUGAAAGGCAUCACACAAGGUAGGGAAGUAUUGGCCACUGGGGGCUUUUCUAGCUUAGAAGUGCACUUUCAUUUCACACCACUGUAACUGGAAACCACUUUUUGAACCUUGCAGCAAUUUACAUUCUGCUUUGUGAAACCCAUUUCAUCUAAACACAAUGUGAGCCUGUCUUUCUGAAUUAUCUGGUAUCAGCAAACGAGAGAGAAAAGUUCCCUCCUAAAAAGAGAGAACUGAUUGUUGAGAGUAGGUCUUCUUUUCUCUUUCAUUCUUUCACACACUCCAUCAUUUUGGACAUACCGCAGGCCAACAUGUAACAGAGUAACUAGAGAUGGCAUUGCAAGGACAGGACAAUCUAAGAAUGGGGGUGCAGGAAUGCAGACAGCAGCUUCCCUUCUUGCAGCCCCCUCUGACUUGGAAAUAUGGAAGUGGGGAAAGGGCAUAUCUUUGGGGUGCAGAUGCAGACUUUAUUGACCCAUUUCUUUCCUAUCCUGUCCCAGAGGCUGAAGGGAAAUUAUAUAUUUCUCAUUUUAUCUCACAACUAUUCAGUGAGUAAACUACUGGGCAAGUCACCAUCUUUCUGUCUAAGGCCACCCAGCAGCCAAGCACGGAUUUGAAGAACUGGCAUCCCUUAUCACAUGAUAUCCUUUACAUCUCACUAAUUUCUCUGGCACUUUUGCCUCUGGCCCUUCCCCACCCCAAAUUCCCCACCCCAAAUUUACUUCAUGCCACCUUCUUUGAACUAUUCUACCUAUGUUCUCUCGUUUGGAUACAUGAGGCUUUAAACAGCCUUUUCUCACCUAACACUACUGGGACUAGAACGCCUUUCCUUCCCCAUUCUGUGUUACCCUGUUUCCUGCUUUUCCUUCUUACCCUUCAUCGGGGAAAUCCACUCCCAGUAGCACCAUCUCACUCUUGCUCUCUGUCUCCUCUGCUGACACAACCAGCAGGUACCGGAUUCGAUGAGCUCGAGAUGACUCCAGCCUUACUGCCUGGAGAAGGAAACACACAACCAAUGCAAGACUGUCUUUCAGUAUUGCCCACACAUACUAGUGAUAUUUCCCGGCAUCAAAGUCUGUGGUGCUGUCCCCAGACUCAGCAGCUGGUGCCUUGCUCAGCACCCACAGCCACUUCAGACACUUACCAUGAUUCCAGAGGCCAAUGCAGUGGUUAAGUUUCAUAUUUGUACUUACAUGAAAACAACAGUUAGAAAUACACAUGCACGACUAUGCUGGAAUCCCAGGCUAGUGGAUGUGACUCAUUUCUUCUUUAUUGCCAUUUGUACAAUUUCCAGUGAAUUUCCAGGAAAGGAGCAAUGAUUUUGAGGAGACAAGCUAUUUACAUUUAUCCAGAAAUAAACAUAUUCAUUUACAACACUGCCA